UACGGAGGGUGCAAGCGUUGUCCGGAUUUAUUGGGUUUAAAGGGUGCGUAGGCGGCCCGUUAAGUCCGUGGUGAAAUCCCAGGGCUCAACCCUGGAAUUGCCAUUGAUACUGACGGGCUUGAGUUCGGUUAAGGCGGGCGGAACUGGUGGUGUAGCGGUGAAAUGCAUAGAUACCACCAAGAACCCCGAUUGCGUAGGCAGCUCGCUGAGCCGAAACUGACGCUGAGGCACGAAAGCGUGGGGAGCGAACAGG
rnacentral:rRNA from 1 species